GCGGGGAUGCCGGAGCGGUCAAACGGGCUAGCCUCAAGAGCUAGUAGCUUAGUGCUUUCGCAGGUUCGAAUCCUGUUCCCCGCA
rnacentral:tRNA from 1 species